CAGGAGGAACCGAGGAGCGCGGGGGCAAGGCUUCCAGGCUUUUGGAGCCCACGCCUAACUCAGAGAACAAAAGAGAGAUUCGAGAGGAGGUGUUAAAGCUAACAGCCAACAUCUACAUAAUAACUGAGUGCUUACAACAUUCACUGGAAGAGGGAGAUCAAGACCCUCUUCCACCUGAGCCGUCCGAAGCUCACGCUCCCCUGCCCUGUGAAAGUGCCAGCGACGACCUGAAAAAGGACCGGUUUCUAUCACUUUCCAUUAAAAGAAACACAGCGGGCAGGAAGGUUUGCAAGGCUCAUGCGGACAAGGAGAACGAGUAAGAGCGAGCCUGACUAAGACGUGGCCCGGUGACGCAGUGAAGCUGCUUCUGGUGACAUCUUCUCACAGCUCCUUUAGCUGGUGACACAGAUUCUCAACAAUGGCACAUCUCCUGCGGGCUAAAAGACCACCUCCAGCUGCCCCCACCUCAGCGACAGGCCCCAGGCACUCCCUGCAGCCUGAGACCUGCAGAGCUGCAUCCUCCUUCUGAAGCUCCAUCUGGAAGUUGUCCUAGAAUAAAAUAGGUGGGAACAGAAAAGAAAGUGGAAUAGAUACUCUGAAAUAAUCUCAUUUGUGAAAGCAUUUAUUCUAGAAUAAGAAUGUUGGGAUUUUUUCCUCCUGGUCUAGCAUAUUCAGUUUCCAAAACCUGCAUGCUCUAAUCUACAGUACUUCCCCCCAUUUGAUUUCUCACUUUACCAGCUUAAUUGGUGAAGACAACACAGUGUGGCUACCACCAUGUCUCUCACUUCACACUGGCUUUCCAAAGAUGGCACAGUGGUUAAAGUACUGCUACUUUGUCUAUAGUGAAGUUAACAUCAGGAGAACUACUUUAGGGGUAGAAAAGACAGCAGAUUUGGGAGUAUAAUAUAGUCAAAGCCAACAUGGGUGGUUAAACAGAUGGCUUAGGUGAACUGAAGGGAAUGAGAGAAAAA